rnacentral:lncRNA from 1 species
CUAUUCAUCAAAUAUUUGUAUAAAAAUUAUCAUUUUCAGUUUUUAAAAAUUAUUUAUUAUUUGUAUUUGUAAAUAAUUUUUUUAAAUUGAUGCUAAAUACAACAUAUAUAUACAAUAUGUAGAUUGUUAAUACAGAAUUCAAAUAAAAACGCGCGAAUUUUGUUGAACAUUUUGUAAAUGUUAAGUGCUUCAGAGUGUAAAAUAAAAUGUAUUGAAAAUUAAACAGAUGUAGUUUUUUGGAGGGGGAAGAGGUCAAAAAUUGCUAUCCCAAGUACCAAAGAUUUUGGAUACUCUACUGCUCAGCGUCCUUUGAGAAAAUAGUAAUUUUGACGCCCUUCUGAAGGCUCCCCGAAGCGGUACAUCGUCUGCUUACCGAAUUAAACCGGUCCUGCUUGAGAUGGUAUUGCAACAACUUUACAUAAAAAUAUCAGGAACACUCGAUUUUUUCUCUAAAUGUAGAAGCGUCAUCCUAACUCUGGAAAGCAUCUUUGAAACAAGACGCAGAUUUGGAGAGGAGAAUAUGGAAGAGUCGAUUGAAAACGUACUGAAAUGGCUAGAAAUAAUCGAAGUUGAAAGUGAACGAGUGCUAAGAGGUGUUAUAAAAAUGAAACAGCAGUAACCGUAUUAUUAAUUAAAACAAAAAAGGUGGGAAAUUUCAUAAUUAUCAAAUUUAUGAACUACAUUUUGGAAAUUAUAUAAAAAUUAUUUUAAAAUUAAUAUAUUCAGCGG